rnacentral:rRNA from 1 species
GAUGAACGCUGGCGGCGUGCCUAAUACAUGCAAGUCGAGCGAACGGACGAGAAGCUUGCUUCCCUGAUGUUAGCGGCGGACGGGUGAGUAACACGUGGAUAACCUACCUAUAAGACUGGGAUAACCUCGGGAAACCGGAGCUAAUACCGGAUAAUAUUUUGAACCGCAUGGUUCAAAAGUGAAAGACGGUCUUGCUGUCACUUAUAGAUGGAUCCGCGCUGCAUUAGCUAGUUGGUAAGGUAACGGCUUACCAAGGCAACGAUGCAUAGCCGACCUGAGAGGGUGAUCGGCCACACUGGAACUGAGACACGGUCCAGACUCCUACGGGAGGCAGCAGUAGGGAAUCUUGCGCAAUGGGCGAAAGCCUGACGGAGCAACGCCGCGUGAGUGAUGAAGGUCUUCGGGUCGUAAAACUCUGUUAUUAGGGAAGAACAUAUGUGUAAGUAACUGUGCACAUCUUGACGGUACCUAAUCAGAAAGCCACGGCUAACUACGUG